UACGAAGGGGGCUAGCGUUGUUCGGAAUUACUGGGCGUAAAGCGCACGUAGGCGGAUUGUUAAGUCAGAGGUGAAAUCCCGGAGCUCAACUUCGGAACUGCCUUUGAUACUGGCAAUCUAGAGUCCGGAAGAGGUUAGUGGAAUUCCCAGUGUAGAGGUGAAAUUCGUAGAUAUUGGGAAGAACACCAGUGGCGAAGGCGGCCUUCUGGACGAUGACUGACGCUGAGACGCGAAAGCGUGGGGAGCAAACAGG
rnacentral:rRNA from 1 species